AUACGUAGGUGGCGAGCGUUGUCCGGAAUUACUGGGUGUAAAGGGCGUGUAGGCGGGAAUGCAAGUCAGAUGUGAAAUACUGAGGCUUAAUCUCAGGGCUGCAUCUGAAACUGUGUUUCUUGAGUGUCGGAGAGGAAAGUGGAAUUCCUAGUGUAGCGGUGAAAUGCGUAGAUAUUAGGAGGAACACCAGUGGCGAAGGCGACUUUCUGGACGAUAACUGACGCUGAGGCGCGAAAGCGUGGGGAGCAAACAGGAUUAGAUACCCUGGUAGUCCACGCCGUAAACGAUGGAUACUAGGUGUAGGAGGUAUCGACCCCUUCUGUGCCGGAGUUAACACAAUAAGUAUCCCACCUGGGGAGUACGGCCGCAAGGUUGAA
rnacentral:rRNA from 1 species